ACUGCGAGAAUGACAAUUCGAGCAGGUGCGAAAGCAGGUCAUAGUGAUCCGGUGGUUCUGAAUGGAAGGGCCAUCGCUCAACGGAUAAAAGGUACUCCGGGGAUAACAGGCUGAUACCGCCCAAGAGUUCAUAUCGACGGCGGUGUUUGGAAGAUUGAAGGGGGCUGCUCCUAGUACGAGAGGACCGGAGUGGACGAACCUCUGGUGUUCGGGUUGUGUCGCCAGACGCAUUGCCCGGUAGCUAAGUUCGGAAUCGAUAACCGCUGAAAGCAUCUAAGCGGGAAGCGAGCCCUGAGAUGAGUCUUCCCUGAUACUUUAAGUAUCCUAAAGGGUUGUCGGAGACUACGACGUUGAUAGGUCAGGUGUGUAAGUGCUGUGAGGCAUUGAGCUAACUGAUACUAAUUGCCCGUGAGGCUUAACCAUACAACACCCAAGG
rnacentral:rRNA from 1 species